rnacentral:rRNA from 1 species
AGUAAAUUGGUUAAGUUAGAAAGGGCGCACGGUGGAUGCCUUGGCACUAGGAGCCGAAGAAGGACGGGACUAACACCGAUAUGCUUUGGGGAGCUGUACGUAAGCGUUGAUCCAGAGAUUUCCGAAUGGGGGAACCCACUAUCUUUAGUCGGAUAGUAUCCUUACGUGAAUACAUAGCGUAAG